CCACUUAAAAAGUGGUACAAAGCAGACAAACAUUGCAGACGGCGCAGCGCUUGCAAACAUGCUUCAUCCUUUUAUGAUUGGUAUCGUCACAAUUAACACCUCCAUGACCAUCGCAUACUGGAUCUUCAUUCUGACAGAAGCCUUUUAUAAGAAGACUGAGGAUGAAGACAAAAAAGACAACCCUGCUUAGGCUACAGUUUCUUUUGAAUUAAUAUUUAAAAUAAAGAACAAAAAAAAAAUUAUUGAGAAGGCACUGACUUCCAGGUUUUCUGCAAGAAGCUCAAGGAUGCGCCUGAACCUGAGGAAAUCCCAGUCUGAACUGAGACCUUGACCAUAAGAAGAAAAAGAAGAUGAUGACGAAGAAGAGGAAAGCUAAUCCUUGGAAGCAGGAUGAAAAAGAGAAAAUGUAACAAAAAGGAACAGACUGAUAUUUGACUGAAGAAUAUCUGCCAUUUAUAUCUACUGUAUUAACAUGAUGUCACUGAAUACAAUCCCUCAUCUUUCAUCCACUAGUCAAACUCUAACUCUUUAUUACAGUCUUAAAAUCAAUCAUGGCUGCUCAUUUCCAUCAAAACAAGGAGCACGAAAGCACCAAGCUUAUAAUUUGUUGUAAAUCUGUAGCAAAAUGUGUUUGUAAUUUUGUAUGUUUUCUAACUAUAUUUAGCAAAGUAGCUGCCCAUGUUUUGUGAAUCUUUGUGGCUUUCUUAGACAUGCCCAAUUCCCUCGACAAUAAUAAAUGAGUAUAAUAUAGAGAGUAUUGGUACUGUUUACAUGGCAUUUGUCCUCCUGUAACCUACUCUCUGAUCCGGAUUAGCAUGAUUAGCGUGUGCUAGUUCAGGCAGGGUGCUCGGCGCAGACAGAGGGAGCUGUAGCUGUUUGAUCACCACUGAUGAUGUACUUUCUGUUCUCCAGUGAAUGCACAGACCUUAUUUGACACACUGUUUGUGUGGGAUUACGGUUUCGUUCAGUUGUUACAUUAAGAAGAUGCUGCUACCUGAGCUUACCCGCAAACACUUUGGCUGGUGUAAUGUAAUGAAGUCAAGCUGACUGACUGAAGAUUGAAAUAUUAUUCAAUUAUAUUUUUAGACCGUAUAUAUUGUUCUUGAUUUACUGUAUGAGGUGUACUUUAUUAGGUAUGAGAUUGAGUAAAAUGCUGAUCUUUAUUUAGUUUUUUAAUUUUAAGUCCAACAACAUGUUUCAAAUAAAAUAUUGAGCUUCAUUAUAAUUUCAGAAAACUCCAAUCCGUCAGAACAUUUGUGGUGAUUGAAAAUAAAGAUUAUUCUACAAAGAA